GGGGGGGGGGGGGGGGGGGGGGGGGGGGGGGGGGGCGGGGGGGGGGGGGCCUUUGGGGGGACUCGGGUGGCGAGCGGGUGAGUAACCCGUGAGUGACCUGCCCUUGACUUCGGGGUAACUUCGGGAAACUUGGGCGAAUACCGGAUCGGAAUCCUUGCUGCAUGGUGGUGGUUUGCAAGCUUCGGCGGUUUUGGAUGGACUCGCGGCUUAUCAGCUUGUUGGUGGGGUAGUGGCUUACCAAGGCUUUGACGGGUAGCCGGCCUGAGAGGGCGCACGGCCACAUUGGGACUGAGAUACGGCCCAGACUCCUACGGGAGGCAGCAGUGGGGAAUAUUGCACAAUGGGCGGAAGCCUGUUGCAGCAACGCCGCGUGCGGGAUGACGGCCUUCGGGUUGUAAACCGCUUUCAGCAGGGGCGAAGCUUGUGGUGACGGUACCUGCAGAAGAAGCACCGGCUAACUACGUG
rnacentral:rRNA from 1 species